GGGGUUUCUCCCUCAAGUACUCUGCCGUCAGAGGUUCCACAAGCAGAGUGCAGACAAUGACGAUGCCCACACGAAGCACUCCUCUCUACCUGACCUCGCCUGGAUUUGAAAAACGAUUCCCUCGAGGAAUCACCUACAGCUACGUCUUUACUGCCGACCCUCAACAACAAAUACGGCUGCGUGUUACAGAAUCGUAUCUGCGUUACAACACAGCCAAUGGACGUUGUCUCAGCAAAAGGGUCAGGCUGUAUGAUGGCCCAUCUUCAGAGAGUUC